UACGUAGGGUGCGAGCGUUAAUCGGAAUUACUGGGCGUAAAGCGUGCGCAGGCGGUUUUGUAAGCCAGAUGUGAAAUCCCCGGGCUUAACCUGGGAAUGGCAUUUGGGACUGCAAGGCUUGAGUGCGGCAGAGGAGACUGGAAUUCCUGGUGUAGCAGUGAAAUGCGUAGGAUAUCAGGAGGAACACCGAUGGCGAAGGCAGGUCUCUGGGCUGACACUGACGCUCAUGCACGAAAGCGUGGGGAGCAAACAG
rnacentral:rRNA from 1 species